ACACAAUGCUGCCUCUUUGACGUGAUACUCAACAAGAGAUCUGUCAUCAGGAGCUGAGUUCACACAACUGAGGUGGAAGUUCAUAUUCUUCUUAAACCACAAGAUUCCUGGUGAAUAUUGGUUGAUUUCAGAACAGACGAACCAACAGAGUGAGGGAACAACACGGGGAUGAGGUGCAGGUGGAGAGACACUGCAAACAGGGCAGUGCUAACGAGGCUGAUGUGAGACAGGUGUGGGUGAACAGUCAGACUGUGGAGGAGCACAAGAGGGAAACACAUCAUCAGGACAACAGUGAUGAUAAAGAGGAUGACAGCGAGUCUCCCGGCGCGGUUUGAUCUUGCGUAAUACAACACGAUGUAAACUGUUUAGAGUUUCCCGAACAUCACAUGCGAGGCUUUUUCCUCUCCACGCGACGGGCUGCUUGUCUAACUGUCACAUGGACACACUGGGUGAUGACAGAAGACCGGGCCAGAGACUGAGUCAGACUGCAGUCUUUCUUUUACAGCCCACCUUCCUCCCUGCCAGCCUUCUCUUACUGGUUUUAUCACUGACAGCCAGACAACCACGAGGAGCCUCUCAUUGGUCAAUAAUUAGCUUAUUAUCAUACCGGCUCUGUCAGGCCCGUCGGGCUGAUUACAUGCAUGACAGCCGGGAAGAAUGGCACUGUGCAUAUCAGUCGUGUUGAAGGAAACCCUCUCGAAAAGUUACAAGAAACAAAAAUAAACUGUGUGCAUCAAUCCGGAAACCAUUAAUAUUGAACCAGUAGUGUAAAUACUGUAAAGAUUCGUUGUUAGAGAGGAAGUGUCGUUCUUCCAGAGAAGACAGGUGGUGUUUCGUAGUACAUUUUUAAAAAGAUAAUUAUUAAAGCUUGUCUCUUUUUCCCGUUGA